rnacentral:rRNA from 1 species
GAUGAACGCUGGCGGCGUGCCUAAUACAUGCAAGUCGAGCGAACAGACGAGGAGCUUGCUCCUCUGACGUUAUCGGCGGACGGGUGAGUAACACGUGGAUAACCUACCUAUAAGACUGGGAUAACUUCGGGAAACCGGAGCUAAUACCGGAUAAUAUAUUGAACCGCAUGGUUCAAUAGUGAAAGACGGUUUUGCUGUCACUUAUAGAUGGAUCCGCUCCGCAUUAGCUAAUUGGUAAGGUAACGGCUUAUCAAGGCAACGACGCGUAGCCGACCUGAGAGGGUGAUCGGCCACACUGGACCUGAGAACCGGUCCAGACUCCUACGGGAGGAAGCAGUAGGGAAUCUUCCGCAAUGGGCGAAAGCCUGACGGAGCAACGCCGCGUGAGUGAUGAAGUUCUUCGGAUCGUAAAACUCUGUUAUUAGGGAAGAACAAAUGUGUAAGUAACUAUGCACGUCUUGACGGUACCUAAUCAGAAAGCCACGGCUAACUACGUG